rnacentral:rRNA from 1 species
AUGUCUAGGUCUGUGGAACCUCUUAUUGUGGGGCGGGUGAUUGGAGAAGUUCUUGAUACAUUUAACCCAUGUGUGAAGAUGGUAACGACCUAUAACUCCAACAAGCUUGUCUUCAAUGGCCAUGAGCUCUACCCAUCAGCGGUUGUAUCUAAACCACGAGUAGAGGUCCAAGGGGGUGACUUGCGAUCCUUGUUCACACUGGUUAUGACAGACCCUGAUGUGCCAGGGCCAAGUGAUCCAUAUCUAAGGGAGCACCUUCACUGGAUUGUUACUGAUAUACCUGGGACAACAGAUGCUUCUUUUGGACGGGAAGUCAUAAGCUAUGAGAGCCCAAAACCCAACAUAGGCAUCCACAGGUUCAUUUUUGUGCUCUUCAAGCAGAAGCGAAGGCAGACUGUAACUGUGCCUUCCUUCAGGGAUCAUUUCAACACCCGUCAGUUUGCUGCGGAGAAUGACCUCGGCCUCCCUGUGGCAGCUGUCUACUUCAACUGUCAGAGGGAGACUGCUGCCAGGAGGCGCUGA